rnacentral:rRNA from 1 species
AACGAACGCUGGCGGCGUACCUAACACAUGCAAGUCGUACGAGAAAUUCCGAUUCGUCGGGAGAGUAAAGUGGCGAACGGGUGAGUAACACUAGGGUAAUCUUCCCUUAAAUAAGGGAUAACGUUGCGAAAGCGACGCUAAUACCUUAUAAGACUACGAUCUCUUAGGAGGUAGUAGGAAAAGAUGGCCUCUGUUUCAAGCUAUCGUUUAAGGAUGAGCCCUAGCACUAUUAGCUAGUUGGUGAGGUAACGGCUCACCAAGGCGACGAUGGUUAGCUGGUCUGAGAGGAUGGCCAGCCACACUGGAACUGAGACACGGUCCAGACUCCUACGGGAGGCAGCAGUGAGGAAUAUUGCGCAAUGGGGGCAACCCUGACGCAGUGACGCCGCGUGAGUGAUGAAGGCUUUCGAGUCGUAAAGCUCUGUUAGGUGGAAAGAAACAUCCCGGCGCUAAUAUCGUCGGGACUUGACGGUACCACCAGAGGAAGCACCGGCUAACUCCGUG